GGCUCAGGAUGAACGCUAGCGGCAGGCUUAAUACAUGCAAGUCGUGGGGCAGCAUGAGUAGCAAUACUUGAUGGCGACCGGCAAACGGGUGAGGAACACGUACACAACCUUCCUUCAAGCGGGGAAUAGCCCAGAGAAAUUUGGAUUAAUACCCCAUAAUAUAUUUGAUAAGGCAUCUUUUUAAUAUUAAAGCUUCGGCACUUGAUGAUGGGUGUGCGGCUGAUUAGAUAGUUGGCGGGGUAACGGCCCACCAAGUCUACGAUCAGUAGCUGAUGUGAGAGCAUGAUCAGCCACACGGGCACUGAGACACGGGCCCGACUCCUACGGGAGGCAGCAGUAAGGAAUAUUGGACAAUGGACGAAAGUCUGAUCCAGCCAUGCCGCGUGAAGGAUUAAGGUCCUCUGGAUUGUAAACUUCUUUUAUAUGGGACGAAAAAGGGCAUUCUUGUUCACUUGACGGUACCAUAUGAAUAAGCACCGGCUAACCCCGUG
rnacentral:rRNA from 1 species